GGAUCUCUUCGGAUUGAAACUUAUUUGACUGAGCGGCGGACGGGUGAGUAACGCGUGGGUAACCUGCCUCAUACAGGGGGAUAACAGUUAGAAAUGGCUGCUAAUACCGCAUAAGCGCACAGGACCGCAUGGUCUGGUGUGAAAAACUCCGGUGGUAUGAGAUGGACCCGCGUCUGAUUAGCUAGUUGGAGGGGUAACGGCCCACCAAGGCGACGAUCAGUAGCCGGCCUGAGAGGGUGAACGGCCACAUUGGGACUGAGACACGGCCCAGACUCCUACGGGAGGCAGCAGUGGGGAAUAUUGCACAAUGGGGGAAACCCUGAUGCAGCGACGCCGCGUGAAGGAAGAAGUAUCUCGGUAUGUAAACUUCUAUCAGCAGGGAAGAAAAUGACGGUACCUGACUAAGAAGCCCCGGCUAACUACGUGCCAGCAGCCGCGGUAAUACGUAGGGGGCAAGCGUUAUCCGGAUUUACUGGGUGUAAAGGGAGCGUAGACGGAAGAGCAAGUCUGAUGUGAAAGGCUGGGGCUUAACCCCAGGACUGCAUUGGAAACUGUUUCUCUAGAGUGCCGGAGAGGUAAGCGGAAUUCCUAGUGUAGCGGUGAAAUGCGUAGAUAUUAGGAGGAACACCAGUGGCGAAGGCGGCUUACUGGACGGUAACUGACGUUGAGGCUCGAAAGCGUGGGGAGCAAACAGG
rnacentral:rRNA from 1 species